AGGGAGGCCCCCUGGGUCUCAUGUUUCAUCUGUUAGAAGAGAAGAGAUGCAUAAAUAUAUAAAAUCAUGUUUUUGAAUAGGUGAAGUGCGAAAUGAUCAGGGGGUUCGGUUUCCCCUGCAAAUGGACCACCAGACAAUUGAAGGGAUUAAAUGCUUAUUAAAAGUGCAGGUAAAA